rnacentral:tRNA from 1 species
GCCCGCUUAGCUCAACUGGUCGAGCACGUCACUUGUAAUGACGGGGAUCUCGGUUCGAAUCCGAGGGCGGGCGC